CAUUGAGCCAUCAAGUUACGUGCGCACCUACCAAGAAUGGCUGCAUCCCGACCCGAAAUAGAUGAGAAAACGGUCAUUGCUGCUGUCCAGGAAAGACCAUGUAUAUGGGACAGCAGAGAUGUGAGCUAUGCAGAUCGUAAUAAAAGAAAUAAAGCUUGGGAUGAAGUGGUUACUGCAGUCUAUCCGGAAUGGCCAUCCCUGUCAUCCACCCAACAAAGUGUUAAAAGGAAGGCAGUGCAAACCUUAUGGUGAUCUUUAAAGGACUGCUACACUCGGGAGUUGCGGCAAAUUAGAGAUGAUGGAAGAAGUGGGAGUUCACCUUGUAAGAGGAAGCAAUAUAUAUUUUUCUAGCAACUUGAUUUUUUGAGACCAGUACUGGAACCAAGAAGUUCCAGCGGAAAUCUACAGAGAACAAGUGGUCCAGAACCUGACCAGGACAGUUCAGAUGCCCCACCAGAGUCAACAGUCAUUUCUAGCUACUCCCCUGGAUGUGGCAGAACGGCCACGUCCUCUCCCAGCACCAGAGGGUCCACUAACACCACCACGACCAUGUCCACGUCCGCGUCCCUUACUAGA